rnacentral:rRNA from 1 species
GACGAACGCUGGCGGCGUGCCUAAUACAUGCAAGUAGGACGCAGUUGCGAACGGGAGAGUAACGCGUAGGUAACUACCUAUUAGAGGGGGAUAACUAUUGGAAACGAUAGCUAAUACCGCAUACUAGUAGAUGGACCUGGGUUGUAUUGGGUAGUAUGUAGGGGAAGGGCCUACCUAGGCAACGAUACAUAGUCGACCUGUGGGGGUGUACGGCCACACUGGGACUGAGGCACGGCCCAGACUCCUACGGGAGGCGGCAGUAGGGAAUCUUCGGCAAUGGGGGGAACCCUGACCGAGCAACGCCGCCUGAGUUAAGAAGGUUUUCGGAUCGUAAAGCUCUGUUGUUAAGGGAGCGGUACUUACCCAGAAAGGGACGGCUAACUACGUGCCAGCAGCCGCGGUAAUUC